rnacentral:rRNA from 1 species
GGGUCAGUAGGUUGGUCGUGCCACCGGUACGUACUGGUCUCACUGAUUCCUCCUUCCUGAAGAACCGUAAUGCCAUUAAUUUGGUGUUGCGGGGAAACAGGACUGUUACUUUGAAAAAAUUAGAGUGUUUAAAGCAAACUAACGCUUGAAUACAUUAGCAUGGAAUAAUGAAAUAGGACGAUCGAUCCUAUUUUGUUGGUUUCUAGGAUUGACGUG